CCGAAGUCAAGCAUCAUUGGGCGCGGUCAGUACUUGGGUGGGUGACCACCUUGGAACACCGCGUGUCGUU